AUUGAACGCUGGCGGCAUGCCUUACACAUGCAAGUCGAACGGUAACAGGUCUUCGGAUGCUGACGAGUGGCGAACGGGUGAGUAAUACAUCGGAACGUGCCCGAUCGUGGGGGAUAACGAAGCGAAAGCUUUGCUAAUACCGCAUACGAUCUACGGAUGAAAGCAGGGGACCGCAAGGCCUUGCGCGAACGGAGCGGCCGAUGGCAGAUUAGGUAGUUGGUGGGAUAAAAGCUUACCAAGCCGACGAUCUGUAGCUGGUCUGAGAGGACGACUAGCCAGACUGGGACUGGGACACGGCCCAGACUCCUACGGGAGGCAGCAGUGGGGAAUUUUGGACAAUGGGCGAAAGCCUGAUCCAGCCAUGCCGCGUGCAGGAUGAAGGCCUUCGGGUUGUAAACUGCUUUUGUACGGAACGAAAAGACUCUGGUUAAUACCUGGGGUCCAUGACGGUACCGUAAGAAUAAGCACCGGCUAACUACGUGCCAGCAGCCGCCGUAAGAC
rnacentral:rRNA from 1 species